UUUAAGUAAUAGUCCACUUGCGCAGGAAAUAAAUGCCACGCAUGAAGAUCACUGUCGUCUUAUUCAAAUGUGCACCAGCAACAUCAAAUAACAGUUAUUCAAAUACGUUCGUACAGGCCCUAACUAUACAACGUGCUCCCACACACACACACCCACGAGCCACGCCUCCUGAAACGCUGGGCUACCGGUGAUUGUUGAAAACCAAUGAAGGACCAGGACCUCACAAAAGGCUAAUAACUAGACAGGACUGUCCGAACAUUACACACUACACCAACUACAUACUAUACUGUAACGAGGAGUGUUCCCUGCCGGACAACACCAUGGGUAAGCGCAAGGUCAAAAACAACGUCAAACAGGAGGAUCAAGUUGCCUCUUGUGCUGGAUCCACCGGUGGUCAAAAGUAAACCGCGCAACCAUUAUGUUCUUCUGUGCUUUUUGUUAUUCGUGGUCGUCGUUGGGGGUCCACUUCUCAGUUGGCUCUGUUAUCAGCAGCAACAAUCCAUUGACGAUUUGCAGAAACCGUUACGUCUUGCAGAGGAAGUUUGUUAAGUUCCAACAACAUGAUGGGGCAGGGAACACACAAUUGGAUGGCAUUAGUCAUGUGGAAGAGAGGCUGCUGGCUCUGGAGCAGGCACAGCCCGAGGCCCAGAAGCAGGCAGAGAUGGCCCUGACAGCUACCGAGCCAACUGGACGAUUCGGACCUCCGUUGCUCAGGUGCUGGCCCUGCAUACUGAGAUGACUACAGAGCUGAACAAGAUUGCAGACCUGCAGCAGAUGGAGUGUCAGUGGCUGCACUGAGUGCACUUUCUCACGGACCAAAGCAAGGAGCUGGAGGCGGUGAAGCAGAGCAUCAGUGACAUUCUGAGCUCCAACUCCCAGCUUGCCCUCAGCAUCUCCAGCAUCUCCAGCAGUAUCACCAGUGCGGCAUCCCAACUCGACCAGCAUGGCGUUUCUGUAGACGACAUGAGUAUGCAGCUACAGGGGCAGGCCGAUGACAUCCAUAGCCUAAAAGAAAUUCUCUCUAGUCAGCAGGCGUCUCUCGAGUCCAACGGUCAGGAGGUGCUGGAACUAAAGAGCCUGUUGGUGAUGGAGCGGAUGAAGAGGAAGAAAUCCCUGAAUAAGCAACUAAGAACCGUACAGCAGAGCAUAUCAGAGCAACUCAGCCCUGCCCACAGCCUCCAUGCUGACCUGGAGACCCCAUUGCUUGCUGUGCAUAGCCAGGAACCCGAGGAGCUACCUAGUGAGCAGGUAGACCAAGAAGCUGCAGAAGAAACACCUAAUGAAAUAGCCGAGGAAGCCUAUGAAGAGGAGAUGGCAGUAGUAGAAACUGAAUCCAUGGAGGAGGCAGCUGAAGCUGAUGAGGAAGCAAUAGAUGAAGCUUCUGAUGAAACACUGGAGGCAGAAGAAGCAAUUGACAUUGUAGAGGAAACAACCAGAGAAGAGCCAGAAGAUGUUUCUGAGGAACCACUGGAGGAAGAGCAAAAAGAAUCAGCUGAUAUUGUGGAGGAACCCACAGAAAAUCAGAUGGAAGAAACAGUAGAUGAAGUGACAGAAGAAGAUAUUGCAGAAGAACAAGCCGACGACGAAGAAUUUGCUGAGGAAGUAACAGAAGAAUUAGCGGAAGAGGAGGCAGAUGAAGACAAAUCAGAAGAAGAAGAAAUAGAAGAAGAAGAAGAAGAAGAAAAAGGAGAAGAAGAAGAAGAGGAUGAAACUACAGAAGAACUGGCAGAAGGGACAGAACGUUCUUUAGAUGAUAACUCUGUGGACGACACUACAGAGGAACCAUCAGAACUUGAUGAAGAAUCUACUGAGGACAAUUUUGAGGAGGACUCUGUUGAUGAGCAGGCUGAUGCUGAGGAGGAAUUAGUUGAAGAUGAUUUUGAAGAGGAACUUAAAUAUGAGCCAUCAGAAAAUGUAGAAGAAUUUGGAGAAGAUGUCAUGGAGGAAACCACAGAGGAGGCACGAGAAGAUGCGGAAUAUGAUGAAGAUGAUUUUGCAGAGUUUGAAUAGUUUACAAAAUAAGGCGCUUUUUCAAAAGAGCAAGAUAAUGAAACAUUAAAACAAACAUGGCUGAAUCAGUCAUUUCUUUUGAUACAUGCUAAUCAUAAUUUGUUUAGAAAUUAUGUCAGGCAAACAAAUAAACAAUAUUUUUACGUUUGUUUUCA
rnacentral:lncRNA from 1 species